rnacentral:rRNA from 1 species
GGACUACUGGGGUAUCUAAUCCCGUUUGCUCCCCUGGCUUUCGUGCAUCAGCGUCAGAAAAGACCCAGUAAGCCGCUUUCGCCACAGGUGUUCCUUACGAUAUCAACGCAUUUCACCGCUCCACCGUAAGUUCCGCUUACCUCUAUCUUCCUCAAGCACAGUAGUUUUGGGCGCAGUUCCUCGGUUGAGCCGAGGGAUUUCACACCCAACUUUCUGCGCCGCCUACGCACCCUUUAAGCCCAGUAAUUCCGAAUAACGUUCGUGUGGUUCGUCUUACCGCGGCUGCUGGCAC